AGCUCCAAUAGCGUAUAUUAACGUUGUUGCAGUUAAAAAGCUCGUAUUUGGAUUUCUGGCGGGAGUGUCCGGUCCGGCCUUAACGGGUUGCGUUACUUGGACGUCUUUGGCCAUCCUUGGCGAGAGCGCGUUGGGCAUUAAGUUGUUCGUCGCGGGAUCGCCAUCAUUUACUGUGAAAAAAUUAGAGUGUUUAAAGCAGGCGUUUGCUGUGAAUGCAUUAGCAUGGAAUAAUAAGAUAGGACUUUGGUGCUAUUUAGUUGGUUUGUACACCGAGGUAAUGAUUAAUAGGGACAGUUGGGGGUAUUCGUAUUUAAUUGUCAGAGGUGAAAUUCUUGGAUUUAUGAAAGACGAACUACUGCGAAAGCAUUUACCAAGGAUGUUU
rnacentral:rRNA from 1 species